rnacentral:rRNA from 1 species
GAAUAAAAAAUCCUCCGAAUGAUUUUAGCACAGACCAACAAGUCAAAGCAAUCUCUAAAAUCUCAUUGACCCAAAAAUCUUUGAUCAACGGACCA